GAUGAAGAACGUAGCGAAAUGCGAUACGUAAUGUGAAUUGCAGAAUUCAGCGAAUCAUCGAAUCUUUGAACGCACAUUGCGCCUCCGGGUAUUCCUGGAGGCAUGCCUGUUCGAGCGUCGUUUAGACCAUGAGGCUUUGCCUUGCGAUGACAUUCGGGUGCGAGCCCGUCUGUCCAAACGAGUUGGCAUCUGAAGUUGGCCUGUCACAGCAGAAUGUGAGAAAACCAGCGGAGGAUCGCAUACAAAAUUCACAAGGUCGACCUCGGAUCAGGCAAGAUUACCCGCUGAACUUAAGCAUAUCAAUAAGCGGAGGA
rnacentral:misc_RNA from 1 species